GUUAACUCACUCUCCUGUCUUUGCUUCUUCAAGCAGAUGCUGAAAAUCAUUGGACGCUAUAUGCACAGAACUCUUGGACGCUAUAUGCACAGAACUCCUACCGCUGUGUAGAGGACAAAUAGAAAUAAGAAGAUAACAUAAAACAGAAAGAUGUCUUGAAAAGCCCAAACCCAAGAUCACCUCUGCUCAUCGGCUGGGGUUGAAGAUGAGCGCCACCUGCCGGCCACAGCUCCACUAAAAGAAGAAGUUACUGACUGGCGUAAGAAUGUGGAGGCCAUGUCUGGAAUGGAGGGCAGGAAAAAGCUUUUUUAUGCUGGUCAAUAAAAUGUAAAUAAUGAAGUCACAGAUGGCAUGACAUGUUUUUCCCCUUCAUUUUACACUUUAUAAUAAGGUUUGCAAUAAAUUUGUAAGUGAAUGCAUUUGAUAACCUGAACUAACAAUGAGCAAUAUAGUUUUCAAGCAUGCAUUAUUAUUUUGUGUUAAUGUUAAUGCCAAUACAGUUCAUCGUGUUCGUUCCUUGUGCAUUAACUAAUGUUUUAAAAAUGUAUAGUAAAUGCUGAAAUUAAAAUAAACUAAGAUUAACAAAUGCUGUAUAAGUAGCUAGUUUUUGCAUUAACUAAUGUUAAUUAUAACUCUAAUUGUAACGUGUUAUCAUUUUAUUUUAUGUUAUUUCACAGACAUUUCUCUAUG